CAGUAGCCACGGUAAUACGGAGGAUCCAAGCGUUAUCCGGAAUCAUUGGGUUUAAAGGGUCCGUAGGCGGUCUUGUAAGUCAGUGGUGAAAGCCCAUCGCUCAACGGUGGAACGGCCAUUGAUACUGCAGGACUUGAAUUAUUGGGAAGUAACUAGAAUAUGUAGUGUAGCGGUGAAAUGCUUAGAGAUUACAUGGAAUACCAAUUGCGAAGGCAGGUUACUACCAAUUGAUUGACGCUGAUGGACGAAAGCGUGGGUAGCGAACAGGAUUAGAGACCCGCGUAGUCCCUGUCUCUUAUAC
rnacentral:rRNA from 1 species